GAGUAGCUGGGACUACAGGUGCACACCACCAUGCCCGGCUAAUUUUUGUAUUUUUAGUAGAGACGGGGUUUUGCCAUGAUGGCCAGGUUUGGUCUCAAACUCCUAACCUCAAGUGAUCCACCCUCCUCAGCCUCCCAAAGUGCUGGGAUUACAGGCGUGAGCCACUGCGCCCCGCCUACUUGAAUUUUUUUUUUUUUUUUUUUUUUUGAGACAGAGUUUUGCUCCUGUUGCCCAGGCUGGAGUGCAACGGCAUGAUCUCGACUCACUGCAACCUCUGCCUCCUGGGUUCAAGUGAUUCUCCUGCCUCAGCCUCCCAAAUAGCUGGGAUUACAGGUGCCCACCACUGUGCCUGGCUGAUUGUAUUUUUAGUAGAGAUGGGGUUUCAUCAUGUUGGUCAGGCUGGUCUUGAACUCCAGACCUCAGGUGAUCGGACUGCCUCGGCCUCCCAAAGUGCUGGGAUUACAGGCAUGACCCACUGUGCCCGGACCUGCUUGAAUUUUUAUGAUGAGCAUGUUGGCAGAUCACGACUGCCAGCUCCGUGACAGCAAGAACCUUGUAUGACUUUUUCAUGAUGGAUGUUCAUCUGUGCCAUCUGUAAAUAUUGAAUAAAUAUUUGUGGAAUACAUGAAUCUAAAAGUGAAUGGAAUGAUAAAGAGGGAAAGGGUCAUGACAUCUACUACAGCAUUUGGCACAGACCCAGGUUUCCCUGGUACUGGUAAUUCCCAGCAGCUUUCUACAAUUCCAAAGCUGUCUGCAGUACUAUCAAGAGAUGACAUGGACUUCAAGGAUCAAACAGGGGAGAAAAAGGCUUAAAAGAAAAACAAGUCUCCAUCAAAGGUAAUAACCACAAUGAGAACUAUACAUAGCUAUGUGCUUAUAGGUCUUAGUUCACAUUCCCCUCAUUAAAAUUAUAGCUCAAGAAAUAAAGGGCUGUUUAAUGACUUGGGUAUAUAAAUAUACUUCAUUUGUAUAUUUUUUACUUGCUAAAAUCUAUCCAAAUUGGUAUUACCUCAAACCAUAAUCUUCUACUGUAUUUUAUAAUUUUACUUUAUUGCCAUGUAUUUUUCCCACUGAUGUUCACAAAUUCACAGGAAACAUCAGCCAUGUACUAAAUAAAAUAUGAAUUGAAUCGACAAAUAGAACUAUAAAUUUAAUUCAAGCACAUGUAAAAUUUAGACCAAAGAAUAAAAAUGUCUAUUAAAAAUACAGCCAA
rnacentral:lncRNA from 1 species